rnacentral:rRNA from 1 species
UACAGAGGUGGCAAGCGUUGUUCGGAAUUAUUGGGCGUAAAGAGCUCGUAGGCGGUGUGUCGCGUCGGCCGUGAAAACCUGGGGCUUAACUCUGGGCUUGCGGUCGAUACGGGCAUCACUGGAGUUCGGCAGGGGAGACUGGAAUUCCUGGUGUAGCGGUGAAAUGCGCAGAUAUCAGGAGGAACACCGGUGGCGAAGGCGGGUCUCUGGGCCGAUACUGACGCUGAGGAGCGAAAGCGUGGGGAGCGAACAGG